UACGGAGGGUGCCAGCGUUGUCCGGAAUCACUGGGCGUAAAGGGCGCGUAGGCGGCUCAUGAAGGCUGUGGUGAAAGUCCGGGGCUCAACCCGGGAAUUGCGCUUGAGACUGGUGUGCUCGAGUACGGGAGAGGAUAGUGGAAUUCCCAGUGUAGAGGUGAAAUUCGUAGAUAUUGGGAAGAACACCGGUGGCGAAGGCGGCUAUCUGGACCGUAACUGACGCUGAGGCGCGAAAGCGUGGGGAGCAAACAGG
rnacentral:rRNA from 1 species